rnacentral:rRNA from 1 species
UACGGAGGGGGCGAGCGUUAUUCGGAAUUAUUGGGCGUAAAGGGCGCGUAGGCGGCUGAACAAGUCAAAGGUGAAAUCCCUCGGCUCAACUGAGGAACUGCCUUUGAAACUGUUCGGCUUGAGGCCGGGAGGGGGUAGCGGAAUUCCCAGUGUAGCGGUGAAAUGCGUAGAGAUGUGGAGGAACACCAGUGGCGAAGGCGGCUUUCUGGUCUGUAACUGACGCUGAGGCGCGAAAGCGUGGGGAGCAAACAGG